AGCGAACGCUGGCGGCAGGCCUAACACAUGCAAGUCGAACGGAUCCUUCGGGAUUAGUGGCGGACGGGUGAGUAACACGUGGGAACGUGCCCUUUGGUUCGGAACAACUCAGGGAAACUUGAGCUAAUACCGGAUGUGCCCUUCGGGGGAAAGAUUUAUCGCCAUUGGAGCGGCCCGCGUCUGAUUAGCUAGUUGGUGAGGUAACGGCCCACCAAGGCGACGAUCAGUAGCUGGUCUGAGAGGAUGAUCAGCCACACUGGGACUGAGACACGGCCCAGACCCCUACGGGGGGGAGGAGUGGGGAAUCUUGGGCAAGGGGCGAAAGCCUGACGCAGCCAGGCCGGGGGAAUGAUGAAGGUUUUAGGAUUGAAAAAUUCUUUCAGCGGGGACGAUAAUGACGGUACCCGCAGAAGAAACUCCGGCUAACUUCGU
rnacentral:rRNA from 1 species